rnacentral:tRNA from 1 species
GAGCGAGUAGUAUAGCUUGGAUAGUACGUGGCUCUGCGGAGGCCACAACCGGGGUUCAAAUCCCCGCUCGCUCG